UGGGGAAUAUUGCACAAUGGGCGCAAGCCUGAUGCAGCCAUGCCGCGUGUAUGAAGAAGGCCUUCGGGUUGUAAAGUACUUUCAGCGAGGAGGAAGGCGUUGUGGUUAAUAACCGCAACGAUUGACGUUACUCGCAGAAGAAGCACCGGCUAACUCAGUGCCAGCAGCCGCGGUAAUACGGAAGGUGCAAGCGUUAAUCGGCAUUACUGGGCGUAAAGCGCACGCAGGCGGUCUGUCAAGUCGGAUGUGAAAUCCCCGGGCUCAACCUGGGAACUGCAUCCGAAACUGGCAGGCUAGAGUCUUGUAGAGGGGGGUAGAAUUCCAGGUGUAGCGGUGAAAUGCGUAGAGAUCUGGAGGAAUACCGGUGGCGAAGGCGGCCCCCUGGACAAAGACUGACGCUCAGGUGCGAAAGCGUGGGGAGCAAACA
rnacentral:rRNA from 1 species